UACGUAGGUCCCGAGCGUUGUCCGGAUUUAUUGGGCGUAAAGCGAGCGCAGGUGGUUUAUUAAGUCUGGUGUAAAAGGCAGUGGCUCAACCAUUGUAUGCAUUGGAAACUGGUAGACUUGAGUGCAGGAGAGGAGAGUGGAAUUCCAUGUGUAGCGGUGAAAUGCGUUGAUAUAUGGAGGAACACCGGUGGCGAAAGCGGCUCUCUGGCCUGUAACUGACACUGAGGCUCGAAAGCGUGGGGAGCAAACAGG
rnacentral:rRNA from 1 species